GAUCAUGGCUCAGGAUGAACGCUGGCGGCGUGCUUAACACAUGCAAGUCGAGCGAGAAAUGUCAAACAGAGAUUCGUCAAAGGGCGGACAUGGACAGCGGCGGACGGGUGAGUAACGCGUAGGUAACCUACCCUUAACUGCGGGAUAGCCUAGGGAAACCUGGAUUAAUACCACAUAAUGCGUUGGAGUCACAUGGCUUUAACGCCAAAGAUUUAUCGGUUAAGGAUGGACCUGCGUCUGAUUAGCCAGUUGGUGGGGUAACGGCCUACCAAAGCGACGAUCAGUAGCCGACCUGAGAGGGUGAUCGGCCACAUUGGAACUGAGACACGGUCCAAACUCCUACGGGAGGCAGCAGUGGGGAAUAUUGCACAAUGGGCGCAAAGCCUGAUGCAGCAACGCCGCGUGAGCGAAGAAGGCCUUCGGGUUGUAAAGCUCUGUCCUUAGGGACGAAGAAGUGACGGUACCUAAGGAGGAAGCCCCGGCUAACUACGUGCCAGCCGCCGC
rnacentral:rRNA from 1 species